UAGGGAAUCUUCCGCAAUGGACGAAAGUCUGACGGAGCAACGCCGCGUGAGUGAAGAAGGAUUUCGGUUCGUAAAACUCUGUUGUUAGGGAAGAAAAAAUGUAUAGUAACUAUAUACAAAAGAGACGGUACCUAACCAGAAAGCCACGGCUAACUACGUGCCAGCAGCCGCGGUAAUACGUAGGUGGCAAGCGUUGUCCGGAAUUAUUGGGCGUAAAGCGCGCGCAGGUGGUUUAGAAAGUCUGAUGUGAAAGCCCACGGCUCAACCGUGGAGGGUCAUUGGAAACUAAUAAACUUGAGUGCAGGAGAGAAAAGUGGAAUUCCUAGUGUAGCGGUGAAAUGCGCAGAUAUUAGGAGGAAUACCGGUGGCGAAGGCGACUUUCUGGACUUUUACUGACGCUCAGGUACGAAAGCGUGGGGAGCAAACAGG
rnacentral:rRNA from 1 species